rnacentral:tRNA from 1 species
GGGUCCUUAGUAUAAUCGGUAAUACAAAGGAUUUCUAACCCUUUAGAUCUCAGUUCGACUCUGUGAGUUUCCA